GACCUUCGCGCAGACUAGUAAUUUCAGUCGAGCGAACAGAGAAGGAGCUUGCUCCUUUGACGUUAGCGGCGGACGGGUGAGUAACACGUGGGCAACCUACCCUAUAGUUUGGGAUAACUCCGGGAAACCGGGGCUAAUACCGAAUAAUCUAUUGUCCCUCAUGGGACAAUACUGAAAGACGGUUUCGGCUGUCCCUAUAGGAUGGGCCCGCGGCGCAUUAACUAGUUGGUGAGGUAACGGCUCACCAAGGCGACGAUGCGUAACCGACCUGAGAGGGUGAUCCGCCACACUGGGACUGAAACACGGCCCAAACUCCUACGGGAGGCAGCAGUAGGGAAUCUUCCACAAUGGGCGAAAGCCUGAUGGAACAACGCCCCGUGAGUGAAGAAGGAUUUCCGUUCCUAAAACUCUGUUGUAAGGGAAAAACAAGUACAGUAAUAACUGGCUGUACCUUGACGGUACCUUAAUAAAAAGCCACGGCUAACCACGUGCCAGCAGCCCCGGUAAUACCUUAGUGGCAAGCGUUGUCCCGAAUUAUUGGGCGUAAAGCGGGCGCAGGUGGUUUCUUAAGUCUGAUGUGAAAGCCCACGGGCUAACCGUGGAGGGUCAUUGGAAACUGGGAGACUUUAGUGAAAG
rnacentral:rRNA from 1 species